rnacentral:rRNA from 1 species
UACGGAGGGGGCUAGCGUUGUUCGGAAUUACUGGGCGUAAAGCGCACGUAGGCGGACCGGAAAGUCAGAGGUGAAAUCCCAGGGCUCAACCUUGGAACUGCCUUUGAAACUCCCAGUCUUGAGGUCGAGAGAGGUGAGUGGAAUUCCGAGUGUAGAGGUGAAAUUCGUAGAUAUUCGGAGGAACACCAGUGGCGAAGGCGGCUCACUGGCUCGAUACUGACGCUGAGGUGCGAAAGCGUGGGGAGCAAACAGG